AUUGAACGCUGGCGGCAGGCCUAACACAUGCAAGUCGAACGGUAGCACAGAGAGCUUGCUCUCGGGUGACGAGUGGCGGACGGGUGAGUAAUGUCUGGGAAACUGCCCGAUGGAGGGGGAUAACUACUGGAAACGGUAGCUAAUACCGCAUAAUGUCGCAAGACCAAAGAGGGGGACCUUCGGGCCUCUUGCCAUCGGAUGUGCCCAGAUGGGAUUAGCUUGUAGGUGAGGUAACGGCUCACCUAGGCGACGAUCCCUAGCUGGUCUGAGAGGAUGACCAGCCACACUGGAACUGAGACACGGUCCAGACUCCUACGGGAGGCAGCAGUGGGGAAUAUUGCACAAUGGGCGCAAGCCUGAUGCAGCCAUGCCGCGUGUAUGAAGAAGGCCUUCGGGUUGUAAAGUACUUUCAGCGGGGAGGAAGGGAGUGAGGUUAAUAACCUUAUUCAUUGACGUUACCCGCAGAAGAAGCACCGGCUAACUCCGUGCCAGCGGCCGCGGUAAUACGGAGGGUGCAAGCGUUAAUCGGAAUUACUGGGCGUAAAGCGCACGCAGGCGGUCUGUCAAGUCGGAUGUGAAAUCCCCGGGCUCAACCUGGGAACUGCAUUCGAAACUGGCAGGCUGGAGUCUUGUAGAGGGGGGUAGAAUUCCAGGUGUAGCGGUGAAAUGCGUAGAGAUCUGGAGGAAUACCGGUGGCGAAGGCGGCCCCCUGGACAAAGACUGACGCUCAGGUGCGAAAGCGUGGGGAGCAAACAGGAUUAGAUACCCUGGUAGUCCACGCUGUAAACGAUGUCGACUUGGAGGUUGUUCCCUUGAGGAGUGGCUUCCGGAGCUAACGCGUUAAGUCGACCGCCUGGGGAGUACGGCCGCAAGGUUAAAACUCAAAUGAAUUGACGGGGGCCCGCACAAGCGGUGGAGCAUGUGGUUUAAUUCGAUGCAACGCGAAGAACCUUACCUACUCUUGACAUCCAGAGAACUUAGCAGAGAUGCUUUGGUGCCUUCGGGAACUCUGAGACAGGUGCUGCAUGGCUGUCGUCAGCUCGUGUUGUGAAAUGUUGGGUUAAGUCCCGCAACGAGCGCAACCCUUAUCCUUUGUUGCCAGCGGUCCGGCCGGGAACUCAAAGGAGACUGCCAGUGAUAAACUGGAGGAAGGUGGGGAUGACGUCAAGUCAUCAUGGCCCUUACGAGUAGGGCUACACACGUGCUACAAUGGCAUAUACAAAGAGAAGCGACCUCGCGAGAGCAAGCGGACCUCAUAAAGUAUGUCGUAGUCCGGAUUGGAGUCUGCAACUCGACUCCAUGAAGUCGGAAUCGCUAGUAAUCGUGGAUCAGAAUGCCACGGUGAAUACGUUCCCGGGCCU
rnacentral:rRNA from 1 species